ACGGGUGAGUAACACGUGGGCAAUCUGCCCUUCACUCUGGGACAAGCCCUGGAAACGGGGUCUAAUACCGGAUAUCACUUCCACUCGCAUGGGUGGGGGUUGAAAGCUCCGGCGGUGAAGGAUGAGCCCGCGGCCUAUCAGCUUGUUGGUGAGGUAAUGGCUCACCAAGGCGACGACGGGUAGCCGGCCUGAGAGGGCGACCGGCCACACUGGGACUGAGACACGGCCCAGACACCUACGGGAGGCAGCAGUGGGGAAUAUUGCACAAUGGGCGAAAGCCUGAUGCAGCGACGCCGCGUGAGGGAUGACGGCCUUCGGGUUGUAAACCUCUUUCAGCAGGGAAGAAGCGAGAGUGACGGUACCUGCAGAAGAAGCGCCGGCUAACUACGUGCCAGCAGCCGCGGUAAUACGUAGGGCGCAAGCGUUGUCCGGAAUUAUUGGGCGUAAAGAGCUCGUAGGCGGUCUGUCGCGUCGGAUGUGAAAGCCCGGGGCUUAACCCCGGGUCUGCAUUCGAUACGGGCAGACUAGAGUGUGGUAGGGGAGAUCGGAAUUCCUGGUGUAGCGGUGAAAUGCGCAGA
rnacentral:rRNA from 1 species